AACCCAGGUCUUCAUGCUUGUGCGCCAAAUGCUUUACUCACUAAGCUGUCUCUCCAGCUUCCCUCCACCUCAGAAUUCUUUUAUGUUCAUACUUUCCUUUCAGUUCUUGACAGUGUUACUAAUACAGUGAUGAGACUGAUAAUAGUAGCAGCAAGUGUUCUUAUCUGCGUGUUUCUGUAAUUAGACGAAUUUCUUGAGCAGUAUUUUAUCCAUUGGUGUUUCUUCCUGGCUAUAGGUUACAUUUUAUGACAUAGUUAGGUAAGGUGAAUUAUAUGUUGCUGUCAUUUUUUUGUUAAGAUUAUUAGGCUGUUUGUAGAGCCAUGUAUGAAUUUCUUCAGGAUAACCUUUGUUUUUUAAGACUAGUUUUAAAUGUUCCCAUUUCGAUUUAGAAUGGCUUAUCACACUAGGGCUGGUUCUCCUUAUUAGCGAAGCCUGGCUCCUUCAAGGUCCCUGCCUGAUCCGUGGAGCACGGGUGAUUUCUAUCUUUGUAGGUCAGUGUCUUGGCCCCACCUUGUUAGCUGUGAUGCUGUUACUGAGCCAAGCCUCUGGAGCUUUCCCUCUGCAGCGCCUUCAUCUGAAAGCACUGUCCUUUAGCCCUUGAGACCACCCACUUGAGUUUCAUUCUUUGCGUCUCCAUGAUUCCUUCAUAUGCUGUUUGGCUGCCACUCUGUGCAGUGAUAAGUUGACUUUAGAAAGGUGUUUUAGUGUGUUUUCAUUUCUGAAUGGGCAGAGUCUUAAUGUGCCUAUUUUUCCAAGUCAGAAAAUUAUUUUUGUAGCAUACAUUUGUACAGUUUUAUUCUUCUUUAUGGUGUUGUUUGUAAGUCUAGGUUUUUAUUUAGGUUAUAUCAGGAAGAGGUAGUGUACUGUUUGAUUUUGUUCUAUGUUUAAAUAACUUAUCCAGAAUAUAUAAUCAAUACUUUAUAUAAUAAAGUAUUGUUAUAAAAAGUAAAAACAAGGAAAUUGUGAAGGUUGUGGGCAGAUAUAUUUUUAUAGACAGAAGUUCUAUGUAUACAGAACAAUUAAUGGUGAUAUUUAUGUAAAAAUACUGACAUGUUAUCUUUUGUGUAUAAUAUUAUGGAUUUAAAUACAAUGAUGGUGAGCCAGAGUUGGAUCACUCUGGU
rnacentral:lncRNA from 1 species